rnacentral:rRNA from 1 species
AUUGAACGCUGGCGGCAGGCCUAACACAUGCAAGUCGAGCGGAGCGGCGGACGGGUGAGUAAUGCCUAGGAAUCUGCCUGGUCGUGGGGGAUAACGUCCGGAAACGGGCGCUAAUACCGCAUACUAUCAGAUGAGCCUAGGUCGGAUUAGCUAGUUGGUGGGGUAAAGGCCUACCAAGGCGACGAUCCGUAACUGGUCUGAGAGGAUGAUCAGUCACACGGGAACUGAGACACGGGCCAGACUCCUACGGGAGGCAGCAGUGGGGAAUAUUGCACAAUGGGCGCAAGCCUGAUCCAGCCAUGCCGCGUGUGUGAAGAAGGCCUUCGGGUUGUAAAGCACUUUCAGUGGGGAGGCGUUACCCGCAGAAGAAGCACCGGCUAACUCCGUGCCAGCAGCCGCGGUAAUAC